GACGAACGCUGGCGGCGUGCUUAACACAUGCAAGUCGAACGGAAAGGCCCUGCUUUUGUGUGGUGCUCGAUUGGCGAACGGGUGAGUAUCACGUGUGUAACCUGCCCCUGACUUUGGGAUAACUUCAGGAAACUGGGGCUCAUACCGGAUAGGAUCUUUUGCUCCAUGUUGGUGGUUGGAAAGUUACGGCGGUUGUGGCUGGACUCGCGGCUUAUCAGCUUGUUGGUGGAGUAGUGGCUUACCAAGGCUUUGACGGGUAGCCGGCCUGAGAGGGGGAACGGGCACAUGGGGACUAAGAUACGGAGCAGAAGCGUACGGGAGGCAGCAGUGGGGAAUCUUGCGCAAUGGGCGGACGUCAGUGGCAGAAACGCCGCGUGCGGAAUAACGGCCUUCGGGUUGUGAACAGAUGUCGAAUGUGACGAAGAGAGAGUGACGGUAAUGGGUAAAGAAGCACCGGCUAACUACGUG
rnacentral:rRNA from 1 species